GACAGAGGGGGCUAGCGUUGUUCGGAUUUACUGGGCGUAAAGCGCGUGUAGGCGGGUCGUUAAGUUGGGGGUGAAAUCCCGAGGCUCAACCUCGGAACUGCCUUCAAAACUGGCGACCUGGAGCAAAGAAGAGGCGAGUGGAAUUGCGAGCGUAGAGGUGAAAUUCGUAGAUAUUCGCAAGAACACCAGUGGCGAAGGCGGCUCACUGGCCCGGUACUGACGCUGAGGCACGAAAGCGUGGGGAGCAAACAGG
rnacentral:rRNA from 1 species